GUUUAAAACCCAUUCAUCUAAUUUAUGUAAUUUUCUUAAUUUUAUUUAUUUGGGAAUAAAAAAAAUAAAAUUUCAUCACCACCUGAGAAAAAGUUUUAUUUUUGGAAAAAAAUCGGUAUCAAAGAUUUUUAGCCAAAGAAGCUAACCAAACAGCGGGGAAAUGACAAUAUUUUAAUGUUAUAGGAUACUGAGAUAAUAAAUUGCAUUCAAUGUCAAGAAUUAUCGAAAGUGUAUAGACAAACAAUAAAUACGGAACUAUACGCAUAAAUAAUAACAAUCGAUGCAAUUCGUAUGCACACUCUGCACAUACACAUGUACGAAAACCUUGUGCGGCGAUCGAGUAAUACACAGUAGUAAAUGUUGUCAAAGAAAAUUUCGGCGACAGAAAACACAGUUGCCAGUCAGCUUAAACUUUCGACUUUAAUCGUGCGAGAGGGUAUUUGCCAGUUCGUGUAUGCAUUUGAUAGAGGUGAAUUCAAUCCAGCGAAGGUUUCAUGACAUUCAGGAAACACAGCCAAUAAGUCAUGGUAAUGAGAUUCCUGAUUCAAUAUUUUAAUUCAAAAGGGUCUAAAUCUAAUACAUAAAUGUGUCAGACGAAACUAUGAUAAAUUAUAGAUAGUUAUAAAUGAAUAGACACGAAGAAGAGGCUUCAUUGGACUUGGCUUGUAAUCUUAUCGGUUUGAACAUUUUUUUUUUUUUAUUGAUAAUUUAUAGAUAGCCCUCGGGCUACUUAAUUUUUGUACUCAAUACUUUGAGCGCAGAUACCUGUAACAAUGAACACGUGCCGUUUUUUGAAGGUUCGACACAUUUUGUUGACUUAAUAAGAUACACAACGAACGUUAGCCAUCGAUCAUAUGGAAAAUCUUACUAGAGACAUAAUUUAAUUGAUUUAUUGUUAUCUGUUUAUUUUUAAGCCUUGCGCCGAGACGAGUACAAAUCGUGUGUUUAUUAUAAGAUGUGUUAUAAUAGCAGCAAGAACUAGUGUUAAAAAAAGAAAGAAAAAAAAACCAUUGUGCGGAGAUAUUAUACCUGCGGAUGCCACAGCUGUUUGACAAUUGUGUAUUAAAUAGUCGCUGAAUAACUAUGCUUGGGGACGAGAAUUACCCCUUUUACGUGUACGUAUAUGUGUUGUUGACGACAGUUCAUUAAUCAAAGUACUCGGCAUUCAGGUGGCUUAUAACACACGGAUGCCGUUGUGUGUGUGUGUGUGCACAUGUAUGCACAUUGAAACCGCUUUACUUUUAUAUGUAUUGUGAACGGACAGCAGGACCUAGGCGAAUAUCAAACCAAGUGUAUGAGGGUUGCGUUGUUGUAAAGCUAAGUCGAACAACACCACAUUUGAUGAGCACUAUAAAUGUAUUUGAAAAAAAAUACAAAUGAAAAGCGUUGAGGGAACUAUUGUCUUACUAAGUUUAUAAAAGCCAAUUUGUUGAUCUCAAAUGUCUAAAGAUACUGAUGGAAACAAUAAAAUUUAAGGGUUUUUAUUGGACUUUUAUAAAAUGCAUAUUAAAACAAAAACCACUAAGUUUUUAUGAGGUACAAUGGGGAUGCGGUAUAGUUGGAAAAGGUAUAGAUAAUAUCUGAUAGUGAUUUACCAUGUAAAUAUCAUAAAUCAAUUCGAUGGGAAUCUGUUAAAUUUUACAAUUAUUUGUAUUUUAAUAAUUUAUUUUAUAGUUGUUAUAUUUAAA